rnacentral:rRNA from 1 species
GAGUUUGAUCAUGGCUCAGAUUGAACGCUAGCGGGAUGCUUUACACAUGCAAGUCGAACGGCAGCACGAGGAGCUUGCUCCUUGGUGGCGAGUGGCGAACGGGUGAGUAAUAUAUCGGAACAUGCCCAGUAGCGGGGGAUAACUACUCGAAAGAGUGGCUAAUACCGCAUACGUCCUACGGGAGAAAGCAGGGGACCUUCGGGCCUUGCACUAUUGGAGUGGCCGAUAUCGGAUUAGCUAGUUGGUGGGGUAAAGGCCUACCAAGGCGACGAUCCGUAGCUGGUUUGAGAGGACGACCAGCCACACUGGGACUGAGACACGGCCCAGACUCCUACGGGAGGCAGCAGUGGGGAAUUUUGGACAAUGGGGGAAACCCUGAUCCAGCCAUCCCGCGUGUGCGAUGAAGGCCUUCGGGUUGUAAAGCACUUUUGUCAGGAAAGAAAUCGCCCGGGAUAAUACCUCGGGUGGAUGACGGUACCUGAAGAAUAAGCACCGGCUAACUACGUGCCAGCAGCCGCGGUAAUAC